rnacentral:rRNA from 1 species
CUUCUGGAUGGACUGGAAAGAUNGUCAAUGGUGGCCGGUAGUGACCCCGAUUGUUGGGAUCACCUANUGCUCGACGAUCANGUACUAUCUAUGGGUCAACUAUCGUCAACCCUUUGGCGCGACGUUAUGCGUUGUAUGCUUACUGAUUGGUGAAUGGCUCACCCGCUACUGGGGUUUCUACUGGUGGUCACACUAUCCAAUCAACUUUGUUACCCCAUCGAUCAUGAUUCCGGGUGCAUUGAUGUUGGAUAUCACGUUGUACUUGACCCGUAACAUGGUUGGUAACGGCGGUGAUCGGAGGNGGAUUCUUUGGUCUGUUAUUCUAUCCAGGCAACUGGCCAAUUUUUGGACCGACUCACUUUCCUGUCGUUGCAGAAGGCGUAUUGCUGUCAAUGGCAGACUACA